rnacentral:rRNA from 1 species
AUUGAACGCUGGCGGCAGGCCUAACACAUGCAAGUCGAACGAGUGGCGGACGGGUGAGUAAUGUCUGGGAAACUGCCCGAUGGAGGGGGAUAACUACUGGAAACGGUAGCUAAUACCGCAUACCAUCGGAUGUGCCCAGAUGGGAGUAGCUUGGAGGUGAGGUAACGGCGCACCUAGGCGACGAUCCCUAGCUGGUCUGAGAGGAUGACCAGCCACACUGGGACGGAGACACGUGCCAGACGCCUAAGGGAGGAAGCAGUUGGGAAUAUGGGACAAGGGGCGCAAGGCUGAUGCAGCCAUGCCGCGUGUAUGAAGAAGGCCUUCGGGUUGUAAAGUACUUUCAGCGGGGAGGCGUUACCCGCAGAAGAAGCACCGGCUAACUCCGUGCCAGCAGCCGCGGUAAUAC